CAGCUACUUCCGGGAAGAAAGACCUCGUCGCCGUGCAAUUUUCCGGCAACUUAAGAGGUUGUUCGUAACUAAACUACCUUUUUUGUUGGUUUUGUGCAAAAUCUGAGACCACCACGAGGUUCGGAAGUGAAUUCCGACCAACCCCAGAAAAAUCACCGGAAAAGCACCAGUCACGCCCCCCCACGCGCCGGCAAGACCCUCGGCGCGUGACAGCAGUUCCGGCCAGUUUUUCAGUUUGUU
rnacentral:lncRNA from 1 species